GGGUGGGUGGAGCGGGGGAAGCGGAGUACGUUGGACCCGGCUCCGCCCUACCCCACGGGGCCGCCUGGAGAGGUGCUGGGAGCUGGGUGGAGCUUAGAGGAAUUAAACUUUGGCCCUGCGCCUCGUCCAGCCUAGGUUCCACCCUUUUCUGGGAACUUUACACCCCGCCACUCCUGAGCACCGCACACCGGCUUCCUCCCAGUCCCUCAUCUGAGAACUCAUGAAGCCACUUGGAAUCCCUCUCUGCUUUGCCUGGCUCAUUCCAUGUCAAUUUCAGAUCUUCACUUCAGGUCAGCUCCAAGGAGGCUAUCCUUGCCCAUCUUCCUAAAAUAGAGCUCUCAAAACCUGGCUGUUUUCCUUCAGAGCACUGGCCUCCAAUUGUAAGUAGAUAUUUAUCUGUUUACUACGUGUCUCCAUCACUAGGCGAUACACUUCAGGAGGGGAGAAUUUUUUGUUUUGGUUCUCUGCCAUAAGAGUGCAUGGUAUUUACUAAGCAUGAAAUAAAUAGUUGUUGGGGGGAAAAAGAAUGAGUAAACGAAUAAAUGAAGUGUGGGAAACUCCUGAGGAUGCAACUCUCUACCUAGCGGUGGCCAAAGCUACUGGAUAAACCAUGUAUGUACCCAUCUUUUUAACCUAUGUGUGUUUUGCUAGAAUGGAGUGUUCUAAUUAGAAGUAAAAAUUUGUUUGUUCUUUAAUAGAAUUUAAUUUUUUUUUUUGAGCCAGUCUGAUUCUGUUGCCCAGGCUGGAGUGCAAUGGCACGAUCUCGGCUCGCUGCAACCUCUGCCUCCCAGGUUCAAGCGAUUCUCCUGCCUCAGCCUCCCGAGUAGCUGGGAUUACAGGCACCUGACACCAGGCCCGGCUAAUUUUUUGUAUUUUUAGUAGAGACUGGGUUUUGCCCUGUUGCCCAGGCUGGUCUCAAACUCCUGACCUCAAGUGAUCCACCCGCCUCGGUCUCCUAAAGUGCUGGGAUUACAGGCGUGAGCCACCGCGCCCGGCCUUUUUUUUUUUUCUUCUUUUUUUAAAAAUGUUUAUCUGCAAGAUCGAGACGGUAUCUCACUAUCUUGUUGGUUUCAAACUCUUGGGCUACAGGGAUCCUCUCGCGUCGGCUUCCCAAAGUGCUGGGAUUACGGGCGUGAGCCACCGCGCCCGGCCUAUUAAUAAAAUCGGAUGACCUUGCACUUUCUCAGUCAGCGAGUAUUAUUUACUACUCACCUCCACUUAGCAGUAGGGAGCUGUAUUGCAAAGGGGGCUGAUGAGCGCGGCUUGACGCCCCUACACACCCCGCCAAGGGGGUUGCUGCAGUUACGGUUUCGCCGAAUGUCCGGCAGAGGGCGCUGCGAACACGCCGCUCCAGCCGCCGGGCAGGGGAGAGCGGAAUGAUAUUCCCAAUGACCGCAGUCAGAACCAUCAGCGCAUUCCUAGGACGCUUUCCAGCUGCUGGGUGGCUUCAUACCCCGGUAAAGUGAAUGGUUUCCAAGUUCCCGCUGAGUACUGGGAUCUGGAGAGCUUUUGAAAAACACGGAUUUCUGGGCGGCACUCUCAAAGAUUCUGGUUCCAUGGGAAUUGGGCGGGCCCUGGACCCUCUUGAAGAUGUUUCCUGUUGAUUUUGAUGAUCAGGUUUGGGCCCCAUUGGUGGGAACUCCCCAAGGCGACUAGGGAGCCGAAGGAGAGAGGAGGACACAAACCUGGUUUCCACUCCCAACCCUGUUGCUUUUUAGCUGCGCGAUCCUUCUGUGUACUACCCCCCAUGACAACUUGUAAAAUGGAGCUAAUGGUAAAGAUAGGGCUAGGCCAGGCCCUGUGGCUCAGGCCUGUAACCCAGCAUUUUGGGAGGCUGAGGUGGGAGGAUCACCUGAGGCCAGGAAUUCGAGACCAGCCUGGCCAACAUGGUGAAACUCUGUCUCUACUAAAAAUACAGAAAUUAGCCAGGCAUGUGGCAUGCACCUGUAAUCCCAGCUACUCGGGAGGCCAAGACACGAGAAUAGCUUGAGCCUGGGAGGCAGAGGCUGC
rnacentral:lncRNA from 1 species